rnacentral:rRNA from 1 species
AGUGAACGCUGGCGGUAGGCCCAACACAUGCAAGUCGAACGGCAGCACAGUAAGAGCUUGCUCUUACGGGUGGCGAGUGGCGGACGGGUGAGGAAUACAUCGGAAUCUACUUUUUCGUGGGGGAUAACGUAGGGAAACUUACGCUAAUACCGCAUACGACCUACGGGUGAAAGCAGGGGAUCUUCGGACCUUGCGCGAUUGAAUGAGCCGAUGUCGGAUUAGCUAGUUGGCGGGGUAAAGGCCCACCAAGGCGACGAUCCGUAGCUGGUCUGAGAGGAUGAUCAGCCACACUGGAACUGAGACACGGUCCAGACUCCUACGGGAGGCAGCAGUGGGGAAUAUUGGACAAUGGGCGCAAGCCUGAUCCAGCCAUACCGCGUGGGUGAAGAAGGCCUUCGGGUUGUAAUGCCCUUUUGUUGGGAAAGAAAAGCAGCAGGUUAAUACCCCGCUGUUCUGACGGUACCCAAAGAAUAAGCACCGGCUAACUUCGUG